AACUUUCAGCAACGGAUCUCUUGGUUCUGGCAUCGAUGAAGAACGCAGCGCAAUGCGAUAAGUAAUGUGAAUUGCAGAAUUCAGUGAAUCAUCGAAUCUUUGAACGCACAUUGCGCCCCUUGGUAUUCCGGGCGGCAUGCCUGCUCGAGCGUCAUUAUAACCAAUCCAGCCUAGCUGGGAGUUGGGCCUCGCUAUACAGCGGGCCUUACAAUCAGUGGCGGUGCUUUUAGGCUCUACGCGUAAUAAUUUUCUCGCGAUAGAGUCCUGAGGAAUACUUGUCAGCCACCCUUUAUUACUUAGGUUGACCUCGGAGCAGUUAGGGAUACCCGCUGAAUUUAAGAAUAGCAAUUAGCGGAGGCU
rnacentral:misc_RNA from 1 species